GAUGAACGCUGGCGGCGUGCCUAAUACAUGCAAGUCGAGCGAACGGACGAGAAGCUUGCUUCUCUGAUGUUAUCGGCGGACGGGUGAGUAACACGUGGAUAACCUACCUAUAAGACUGGGAUAACUUCGGGAAACCGGAGCUAAUACCGGAUAAUAUUUUGAACCGCAUGGUUCAAAAGUGAAAGACGGUCUUGCUGUCACUUAUAGAUGGAUCCGCGCUGCAUUAGCUAGUUGGUAAGGUAACGGCUUACCAAGGCAACGAUGCAUAGCCGACCUGAGAGGGUGAUCGGCCACACUGGAACUGAGACACGGUCCAGACUCCUACGGGAGGCAGCAGUAGGGAAUCUUCCGCAAUGGGCGAAAGCCUGACGGAGCAACGCCGCGUGAGUGAUGAAGGUCCUCGGAUCGUAAAACUCUGUUAUUAGGGAAGAACAUAUGUGUAAGUAACUGUGCACAUCUUGACGGUACCUAAUCAGAAAGCCACGGCUAACUACGUG
rnacentral:rRNA from 1 species